UACGGAGGAUCCGAGCGUUAUCCGGAUUUAUUGGGUUUAAAGGGUGCGUAGGCGGGCCAUUAAGUCAGCGGUGAAAGUUUGCGGCUCAACCGUAAAAUUGCCGUUGAAACUGGAGGUCUGGAGUGCGAGCGAGGCAGGCGGAAUGUGAUGUGUAGCGGUGAAAUGCUUAGAUAUGUCACAGAACACCGAUUGCGAAGGCAGCCUGCUAGGACGCUACUGACGCUGAGGCACGAAAGCGUGGGGAUCGAAC
rnacentral:rRNA from 1 species